rnacentral:rRNA from 1 species
GGAUUAGAUACCCUGGUAGUCCACGCCGUAAACGAUGUCAGCUAGCCGUCGGGGUGCAUGCAUCUCGGUGGCGCAGUUAACGCAUUAAGCUGACCGCCUGGGGAGUACGGCCGCAAGGUUAAAACUCAAAGGAAUUGACGGGGGCCUGCACAAGCGGUGGAGCAUGUGGUUUAAUUCGAAGCAACGCGCAGAACCUUACCAGCUCUUGACAUCCCUGGACCGCCACGGAGACGUGGUUUCCCUUCGGGGCCAGGUGACAGGUGCUGCAUGGCUGUCGUCAGCUCGUGCCG